rnacentral:lncRNA from 1 species
GGAGAAGGGAACAAGCGCUUGUUUUACUCAGGCCUGCUGAAGCCACAGUGUGCUUUUCUAGGCAAACAUCAGGUCUGCUCUGCAUUAAUUCCGAGAGAUUGCAAAGGGAACAGAGGAUGAAAAGAUUGAACAUCAAGACAUGGAUGUCUGCACUGGGGCUUCUUUGUGGCAUGACCAGCUGUUGCAGAGUCAGGGAGCAAUAUCCACCCCUGGACAGUGCAUAAAAUGAAGGCUUUGCUCCUCUACCACGUCAUCCCCAACAACAAUCAGCAGAAAAGUGAAACCUGAACUUGAAAUAGCUAUGGAAGCAUGAAUUUUGCCUUAAUAAAAUAAUAGCCUCUUACAUUUGUACAGGGCUUUGUGCCAAACAAAGCAAUUCUACAUCACAAAAAUAGUUCAUGAGUACUAAGCAUGAU